rnacentral:rRNA from 1 species
UGGUGGAGUGAUUUGUCUGCUUAAUUGCGAUAACGAACGAGACCUUAACCUACUAAAUAGCCAGGCUAGCUUUGGCUGGUCGCCGGCUUCUUAGAGGGACUUUCGGCUCAAGCCGAAGGAAGUUUGAGGCAAUAACA